rnacentral:rRNA from 1 species
UACGGGGGGGGCAAGCGUUGUUCGGAAUUACUGGGCGUAAAGGGCUCGUAGGCGGCCAACUAAGUCAGACGUGAAAUCCCUCGGCUUAACCGGGGAACUGCGUCUGAUACUGGAUGGCUUGAGUUUGGGAGAGGGAUGCGGAAUUCCAGGUGUAGCGGUGAAAUGCGUAGGUAUCUGGAGGAACACCGGUGGCGAAGGCGGCAUCCUGGACCAACACUGACGCUGAGGAGCGAAAGCCAGGGGAGCAAACGGG